rnacentral:rRNA from 1 species
UGCAAGUCGAACGGUGAACACGGAGCUUGCUCUGUGGGAUCAGUGGCGAACGGGUGAGUAACACGUGAGCAACCUGUCCCUGACUCUGGGAUAAGCGCUGGAAACGGCGUCUAAUACUGGAUAUGUGACGUGACCGCAUGGUCUGCGUCUGGAAAGAAUUUCGGUUGGGGAUGGGCUCGCGGCCUAUCAGCUUGUUGGUGAGGUAAUGGCUCACCAAGGCGUCGACGGGUAGCCGGCCUGAGAGGGUGACCGGCCACACUGGGACUGAGACACGGCCCAGACUCCUACGGGAGGCAGCAGUGGGGAAUAUUGCACAAUGGGCGCAAGCCUGAUGCAGCAACGCCGCGUGAGGGACGACGGCCUUCGGGUUGUAAACCUCUUUUAGCAGGGAAGAAGCGAAAGUGACGGUACCUGCAGAAAAAGCGCCGGCUAACUACGUGCCAGCAGCCGCGGUAAUACGUAGGGCGCAAGCGUUAUCCGGAAUUAUUGGGCGUAAAGAGCUCGUAGGCGGUUUGUCGCGUCUGCUGUGAAAUCCGGAGGCUCAACCUCCGGCCUGCAGUGGGUACGGGCAGACUAGAGUGCGGUAGGGGAGAUUGGAAUUCCUGGUGUAGCGGUGGAAUGCGCAGAUAUCAGGAGGAACACCGAUGGCGAAGGCAGAUCUCUGGGCCGUAACUGACGCUGAGGAGCGAAAGGGUGGGGAGCAAACAGGCUUAGAUACCCUGGUAGUCCACCCCGUAAACGUUGGGAACUAGUUGUGGGGUCCAUUCCACGGAUUCCGUGACGCAGCUAACGCAUUAAGUUCCCCGCCUGGGGAGUACGGCCGCAAGGCUAAAACUCAAAGGAAUUGACGGGGACCCGCACAAGCGGCGGAGCAUGCGGAUUAAUUCGAUGCAACGCGAAGAACCUUACCAAGGCUUGACAUAUACGAGAACGGGCCAGAAAUGGUCAACUCUUUGGACACUCGUAAACAGGUGG